rnacentral:rRNA from 1 species
UCCUACGGGAGGCAGCAGUGGGGAAUCUUGGACAAUGGGGGCAACCCUGAUCCAGCCAUGCCGCGUGAGUGAUGAAGGCCCUAGGGUCGUAAAGCUCUUUCGCCUGUGAAGAUAAUGACGGUAGCAGGUAAAGAAACCCCGGCUAACUCCGUGCCAGCAGCCGCGGUAAUACGGAGGGGGUUAGCGUUGUUCGGAAUUACUGGGCGUAAAGCGCACGUAGGCGGAUCGGAAAGUUGGGGGUGAAAUCCCGGGGCUCAACCCCGGAACUGCCUCCAAAACUAUCGGUCUAGAGUUCGAGAGAGGUGAGUGGAAUUCCGAGUGUAGAGGUGAAAUUCGUAGAUAUUCGGAGGAACACCAGUGGCGAAGGCGGCUCACUGGCUCGAUACUGACGCUGAGGUGCGAAAGUGUGGGGAGCAAACAGGAUUAGAUACCCUGGUAGUCCACACCGUAAACGAUGAAUGCCAGUCGUCGGGUAGCAUGCUAUUCGGUGACACACCUAACGGAUUAAGCAUUCCGCCUGGGGAGUACGGUCGCAAGAUUAAAACUCAAAUGAAUUGACGG